ACUGCAAGGCUGAGGUGAACCUCUGGCCUUCCAGUUGAGGUACAGGGGUCCUUUGCUGGCCCCAGAUGUGGACAGUAUCCUCUCGAAUGCCCACCACUGGGAACCCUUAAGUCCCUCAAGAUCUUUCCUCAGCCUCGGCCAGUCCUAUCUCAGCAGUAGUGGCCGGUGUUAAGUAUGGUGCCUAGAAAAUUACAGACUAUUCCAGACCAGGAAGGAAAGUUGACUUCAUCUUCAGAUACUCAGGCUCCAGCCUGGAGACAUCUCAUCUCUCCUCUGUCACUCCUUCCCCAUUAUUAAAGUUUGUGGAUGUUCCUUAGAGUCUCCCAGACCUGUCUUGGCUUUAAGGCUGUUACGAAGAAUGCAGAUGAACAGCAUUCGUGGAAAAGAUGCACGGAGCGAGGCCUGUGGGGAGGGGAGCAGAGCUUCCAUGCCCUCCCUGCAUGCACCACCCUCCAGGAACCUCCACAUGUUCAGCUGUCUGGAAGCUCUUCCGAACCCUGUCCAUUUGAA
rnacentral:lncRNA from 1 species